GACGAAGGGGGCAAGCGUUGUCCGGAAUCACUGGGCGUAAAGCGCACGUAGGCGGCUUUGCAAGUCAGGGGUGAAAUCCCGGGGCUGAACCCCGGAAAUGCCUUUGAAACUGCAAAUCUCGAGUGCGGUAGAGGUGGGUGGAAUUCCUAGUGUAGGGGUGAAAUGCGUAGAGAUCAGGAAGAACACCGGUGGCGAAGGCGCCCCACUGGAUCGGUACUGACGCUGAGGUGCGAAAGCGUGGGGAGCAAACAGG
rnacentral:rRNA from 1 species